UCCAUGCCAAAUGUACAUACCUAUGUUUGACAUGCAAAUAUCAUUUCUGUUCUGUACAAAUCAUGCUUCAUAUAGAAUAAUAUUUGAUGGCGUCAAAUAAACAGGUCGGCCAGGAGAAUGAAGCUACAGCUACUGAAGAUUCAAACAGCCUCCUUCCCGACCCCGCUAAAACCAAGAGGUAAAGACUCAUGGCAUGUUCCAUUCAAUUACUUCAGCUCAUAUGACAGAAGCAAUGAGUUUGACUUCAUCUCCGUGCCAGCAAGGAAAUUCUACCUGUUAAGGGCAUCUCCAGCCGUUGGCCCCCCAGGGGGCGUCAAAAAGCGCCGCCUGGGGGUGAGCCGGCGCAAAAAAUGGCCCUGGGCGAGUCGGCCCCCAGGGCCGCCCCUAGGCGCGUAUUCAAAAAAAAGAUGAGACGUUCGGCGAAGUUAUGAUAAAAACUAGUUAAAUUUCGGCUAAACAUGGCAAAUUUUCUCUAAACAUGGCAAAUUUCGGCGAAAUUCGCCAUUUUCAUGACAUUAACCUAAUCUAAAAAAGAAAGGCGCUGAAGUCGUCGCCGCCAUCGUCGUCGGCGGCGGCCUUCUCCUCCUUGACGCGGGCGCCCCUGCUGGACCGGCGUCGCCAUGGCGGACUGGCGGCGGCGCGUCGUCGUCGUCGUCGUCGCUGUCGCGUAGGACGACGACCCCGUCUUCAUCGCGGCCGCGUCGGCGCUCUUCGAAGCGGCGCAGGGCGGCGCGCUGGCACUCCUUCACCUUCUCCCGGCGCGCCUUCUCCAUCGCAAUGGAGUCCUGGCGCGCCCAUUACAGGGCCGCGUCGUCGUCGUCGAACUCCGCCUUCACCGGCGCAAGCCCCGGCUCCGUCUUCACCGGCGCCAGCCCCGGCUCCGUCUUUGGCUUGACGAAGCACGAAGGAGCCGACGAGGACGAGGCACGCCGGCCGCCCUCGUUGAUGACGAUGCCGGCGCUGCGAGUGCGCCGGCCGAGCGGCGACUCCGCCGCGGGCUCGGCCUUGACGCCAAGCAGGGCCGGAGUGCCGGAGGAGUGCGACGAGGAUCGGGAGGAAGAAGAAGAGGAGGAGGACUCGAACCUCCUUGGCGCCCAUGGCCCGACGCGUCGGUGCUGCGCCGGGGGGUACGCCAACGGCGGGUCGUUGCCACCCUCGAGGUACGUGAGCACGCCCUCGAAAGUGCGGGCGGGGACGCCCCACCAGAGGUGGCGCCCCUCGCUGUUCUGCCGGCCGCCGACCACCGGCGCGCCGUUGGUGGACGCCAAACGCUGUUGCUGGCGGCGCUCGAAAUACGCCGCCCAGGCCGCGUGGUUGUCGGCGGCGUACUGGGGGAGGGAGAGUUCGGCGUCGGUGAGGGACGUGCGCACGAUCUCGACCUCCUCGGCGAAGUACUUCGGCUUCGCCACGGCGUCGGGCAACGGGGGAAUGGGUACUCCCACGGCGCUGAGCCUCCACCCCGAUGGCCCGGCGCGCAUGUCCGGCGGUGCCGGGAUGUUCGCCUGGAACAGGAGCCAGGACUCCUGUUCGCGGAACGAACGGCGACCAAAGCCGUUGGCCGCCGCCUCGUCUCCUGGGAAGCGUUCUGCCAUGGCGACGGCGGGGCGGGGUGGGCUCGGGAGAGGUAGAGGGAGAGGCCGGAGGGCGGCGCUCGGGAGAGGGAGGGGUUGGACGGCGGCGAGGGGGGCUGGUCUGGACACAGGCGAGUGGAGGCCGCUGGCUUUUAUAGCCGGACCGCGCGUCGUGUGUACGCGUGCGAGGGAAGGGAGGCGUCGGCGCGCCGCCCCGUGAAGUGCCGCCCGUGAGGAAUCAAUGGCAAGGCUGACCGGCGGCAGCCUUGCCAUUGAUUCCCCGCGGGAACCAAGGCCGUUGGGGGAAGACGAGGCGCGGAGUCGCUGACGCGGCUGGCCCGCGUCUUUUUCGCGCCAAAACAGCUCGCCCCGGCGCCCCCGGGCGCCCCCCAGCGCGCCGGGUUCGGGCUGGGUCCGCCGGCGUUGUUUUCGGCCCAAGCCGGCGAAAAUCGGGCUCCUGGGGGCGCGACUGGGCCGUUUUUUCAGCGCCGGCGCGAAAAAAUCGCCUGGGAAGGCCUUCCUGGGGCGCGGCUGGAGAUGCCCUAAGAAACAAAUAGAGUUGUGAUGUUACAUUAUUGAUUGGCUCGGUUCUUCCUGGUGCAGUUCUAAGUUCCAGUACUUUUGUUUUUUGCUUGCUCAUACCUUUUAAGAAGAUACUAAAUGCAGGUUCACUGUCAGGUUGGUUCCUCUGUUUCAGAUCCAGAUCCAGCCCUGUCUAUAGUUCAUGUGGAUGAAGACAUGUUUGAUUCCUCUCCAUGUGCGAUGGGAUAUGAUUUCUGUGCCAUCAUAUACCUAAAAGUAAUGUAUUUUCAUAAAACCAACAAAAUAUAUAAUUUAUUGCCUUUCCUUGAUUCUGGCAUAUUAAGCAUGUUCUUUUCCAGCUUGUUUGAUUCCAUCUUAAGAAACUACAGAGUUAAUGCAUAUAUAGCUAUGCAUAAGUAAUGUACAUUCAUUGUUCUUUAUAUACACUGUAUUUAUAUCUUGCGCCAGCUCCCCUCGAUCUGUCUUUUGAAACCGUCUUGAUGGAGUUGGUCGAGCUAUCCACAACAUCUUUGGCUGAGGCCAUGUUUGAGAAGCUUGGGAUUCCUAAAGCAGUCUACCAUGUGAGUCUGCUUGAGCAAGGCGGGUAUAGGUCGCAAGUUCAAUUUCACUGUACAAAGGAGCGUUACGGAGCCUCAAAACGCCGGGUUAAAAAGUUAAGCCCUAUAUGUGUGAAUGGGGAGGCAUCAAUGUAUCGCGCAGCCGAUCUAGGCAUUGAAUACAUGGAAAAAAAUGAAAGAAAGGUCGUCCCUUUAUCUGGAAGAAGUUCAUGCUGCAUCAACCAAAACUCAUGGACUUGCUGCCGUUGCCUUGGACCCUGCUGCCUCCAUGUCUCUUUCUGCUAUAAAGCAGGCUGUUCUAGAGAUUCAAGACGCAGUUGUUGCUCAACAAAACACUACAGCCGCAGCACAUGUCUCGCUAGAGGAAAAGGGUAUGUACUCAGAGGAUGAUGUGGCUGAUCCAGUCUACUAUGGGCUUUCUGAUGAAGAGACCGAUGAAGACUACCAUGAAGAAAUGGAUGAUGACUACGCUCAUUACGUGCGAUCCCCAUGAGCACACUGUGUUAAGCUCACUGAGUUAAUCAAGAAGUGGCUUCAUCAUCAGGCCUUGCUUAUUUCUAGAAAGGGCCAGUCUGUUAUUAUGUUGGGUCUACUAGGUUGUCUAAAUAAAAUGUGAAACUCUGUGUUUAUAGCCUCACAUAAAGAACUGUCUCAGUCUCAAACUGCUCUCUCGUUAUGUAUAAGUAUGGAAUUUAUUGUGCUAUCUAAGACCAGUGUAAUAUAUUUAUGUUCUAUCUUUCUUCCUGCUUGCUGAAAUUCUUCUUAUAAUACUUUUCCCAUGCGCCUCUGUUAGGCGAAAAUUGCUUGCUGUCCUGUCAUCUUUGCUUGUAAUUUUGCUCAUGCUUUGCUGACUCUGGUGAUCUGCUGCCUUGUGAUCUUCCCACAUUUCGGCUAAGAACCUUUCCAAAAAUCUUCAGGGCGACAUGCGCAUUAAAAGGCUCCAGCCUGUUGUUGAUGCUGCUGGGCUUGACAAGGUUGGCGGACCGGAGGUUGUUAAGAAGAACAUGAUGCCGUCUUUUGCGGGUGGGCUUCGCUGUAUGACUGAAGAUUUCCACGAUGCAGUGGCUGUUUCGCAAGUCCAUGGCUCGCCUGAUAUAUCCACAACCUUGGCAUGUGAUCCAGAGUGGCCUGAGAUAAUUGAGACCCUUGAACAUGGGCAAAAAGCAGUC
rnacentral:lncRNA from 1 species